rnacentral:rRNA from 1 species
UAGGGAAUCUUCCGCAAUGGACGAAAGUCUGACGGAGCAACGCCGCGUGAGUGAUGAAGGUUUUCGGAUCGUAAAACUCUGUUGUUAGGGAAGAACAAGUGCGAGAGUAACUGCUCGCACCUUGACGGUACCUAACCAGAAAGCCACGGCUAACUACGUGCCAGCAGCCGCGGUAAUACGUAGGUGGCAAGCGUUGUCCGGAAUUAUUGGGCGUAAAGCGCGCGCAGGCGGUUUCUUAAGUCUGAUGUGAAAGCCCCCGGCUCAACCGGGGAGGGUCAUUGGAAACUGGGAAACUUGAGUGCAGAAGAGGAGAGUGGAAUUCCACGUGUAGCGGUGAAAUGCGUAGAGAUGUGGAGGAACACCAGUGGCGAAGGCGACUCUCUGGUCUGUAACUGACGCUGAGGCGCGAAAGCGUGGGGAGCGAACA